rnacentral:RNase_P_RNA from 1 species
CUGCGCGGUCGGGCAACCGCUGGAUGUGCUCGUUUUUGCGAGAGCGUCGAGAGGAAAGUCCGGUCUUCCCAGGGCAGCAUGCCGGCUAACGGCCGGGGAUGUGCGCUCAAAGCGCACGUUACGGAAAGUGCCACAGAAAAUAUACCGCCACGCGGUUCUGCAAGGAACGGCGGGGUAAGGGUGAAAAGGUGCGGUAAGAGCGCACCGCGGCACGAGCAAUCGCCGCCGGCAGGGAAAACCCCAUGCGAAGCAAGACCAAAUAGGGGAGGAGGAGUGGCCCGCUCCGUUACCACUUCCGGGUAGGUCGCUUGAGCCGUUCAGUAAUGGAUGGCCUAGAGGAAUGGUUGCCGCCUGUAACAGCGUAGCUUCGUGGUUACAGGUACAGAAACCGGCUUACAGAUCGCGCAGGUUC